rnacentral:lncRNA from 1 species
UGAAUAUUACAUUUCCCCUCAUCAUUUUUGUCUCGCUUUGAUGGAGUCAAAAAGCGAGACAUAGGUAUGCUGUUGACAGCGGUGUCAACAAUGUAUUAGUAUGUGAUGAUGUAAGUUGAUGGUGAACCGAGUCAAAGAUAUUUAGUACACAGCUGUAUUAGCACUAGCACAUUUCAUUACCAUGGAGAUUAUUUGGCCCUGCCCCCU